GGGGCAGCAUGGUCUUAGCUUGCUAAGGCCGAUGGCGACCGGCGCACGGGUGAGUAACACGUAUCCAACCUGCCGUCUACUCUUGGACAGCCUUCUGAAAGGAAGAUUAAUACAAGAUGGCAUCAUGAGUUCACAUGUUCACAUGAUUAAAGGUAUUCCGGUAGACGAUGGGGAUGCGUUCCAUUAGAUAGUAGGCGGGGUAACGGCCCACCUAGUCUUCGAUGGAUAGGGGUUCUGAGAGGAAGGUCCCCCACAUUGGAACUGAGACACGGUCCAAACUCCUACGGGAGGCAGCAGUGAGGAAUAUUGGUCAAUGGGCGAGAGCCUGAACCAGCCAAGUAGCGUGAAGGAUGACUGCCCUAUGGGUUGUAAACUUCUUUUAUAAAGGAAUAAAGUCGGGUAUGCAUACCCGUUUGCAUGUACUUUAUGAAUAAGGAUCGGCUAACUCCGUGCCAGCAGCCGCGGUAAUACGGAGGAUCCGAGCGUUAUCCGGAUUUAUUGGGUUUAAAGGGAGCGUAGAUGGAUGUUUAAGUCAGUUGUGAAAGUUUGCGGCUCAACCGUAAAAUUGCAGUUGAUACUGGAUAUCUUGAGUGCAGUUGAGGCAGGCGGAAUUCGUGGUGUAGCGGUGAAAUGCUUAGAUAUCACGAAGAACUCCGAUUGCGAAGGCAGCCUGCUAAGCUGCAACUGACAUUG
rnacentral:rRNA from 1 species